rnacentral:rRNA from 1 species
UACGUAGGGUGCGAGCGUUGUCCGGAAUUACUGGGCGUAAAGAGCUCGUAGGUGGUUUGUCGCGUUGUCCGUGAAAACUCACAACUCAAUUGUGGGCGUGCGGGCGAUACGGGCAGACUGGAGUACUGCAGGGGAGACUGGAAUUCCUGGUGGUAGCGGUGAAAUGCGCAGAUAUCAGGAGGAACACCGGUGGCGAAGGCGGCAUCCUGGACCAACACUGACACUGAGGAGCGAAGCCAGGGGAGCAAACGGGA